rnacentral:rRNA from 1 species
AUUGAACGCUGGCGGCAGGCCUAACACAUGCAAGUCGAGCGGAUGAGUGGAGCUUGCUCCAUGAUUCAGCGGCGGACGGGUGAGUAAUGCCUAGGAAUCUGCCUGGUCGUGGGGGACAACGUUUCGAAAGGAACGCUAAUACCGCAUACGUCCUACGGGAGAAAGUGGGGGAUCUUCGGACCUCACGCUAUCAGAUGAGCCUAGGUGGGAUUAGCUAGUUGGUGAGGUAAAGGCUCACCAAGGCGACGAUCCGUAACUGGUCUGAGAGGAUGAUCAGUCAGACUGGAACUGAGACGCGGUCCAGACUCCUACGGGAGGCAGCAGUGGGGAAUAUUGGACAAUGGGCGAAAGCCUGAUCCAGCCAUGCCGCGUGUGUGGAGAAGGUCUUCGGAUUGUAAAGCACUUUAAGUUGGGAGGAAGGGCAGUAAGUUAAUACCUUGCUGUUUUGACGUUACCAACAGAAUAAGCACCGGCUAACUUCGUGCCAGCCGCCGCGGUAAGAC